rnacentral:rRNA from 1 species
UCCAGACUCCUACGGGAGGCAGCAGUGGGGGAUAUUGCACAAUGGGGGAAACCCCGAUGCAGCGACGCCGCGUGAGUGAAGAAGUAUUUCGGUAUGUAAAGCUCUAUCAGCAGGGAAGAAGAUGACGGUACCUGACUAAGAAGCCCUGGCUAACUACGUGCCAGCAGCCGCGGGAAUACGUAGGGGGCAAGCGUUAUCCGGAUUUACUGGGUGUAAAGGGAGCGUAGACGGCGAUGCAAGCCAGAUGUGAAAGCCCGGGGCCCAACCGCGGGACUGCAUUGGGAACUGGCGCGCUGGAGUGCCGGAGGGGUAGGCGGAAUUCCUAGUGUAGCGGUGAAAUGCGUAGAUAUUAGGAGGAACACCAGUGGCGAAGGCGGCCUACUGGACGGUGACUGACGCUGAGGCUCGAAAGCGUGGGGAGCAAACAGGAUUAGAUACCCUAGUA